AAAUAGAUCUAAUAACAACAACGGGUCAUUCGUGCUUCCCAACGAGAUAACUGUUGUGUGUUUUGGUGUGGAAGGCACAUACUUUUCGAGUCUUCACUUUUGCACUUGGUGGUUUAAAUGCUUCAAGGUAGCUUAGAUUUGCAGCAUGGGAGUUCUGAAAGUUCAAAUAUGAGAGAUGUUAGACAAGGUUCAAGCCUAGGUUCAAAAGUCACUAGGGGAGUAUGUGUAGCAAGCACUUCCAUAUAGCAAGAUUUUUCUAACCUGACAAUGGUUUUUCCUC